AGUUGGUGAGGUAAAGGCUCACCAAGGCGAUGAUGGUUAGGGGUCCUGAGAGGGUAGUCCCCCACACUGGUACUGAGACACGGACCAGACUCCUACGGGAGGCAGCAGUGAGGAAUAUUGGUCAAUGGGCGCUAGCCUGAACCAGCCAUGCCGCGUGCAGGAAGACGGCCCUACGGGUUGUAAACUGCUUUUCUGCAGGAAGAAUAUAUAGUCUUAGGGCUAUAUUGACGGUACUGCAGGAAUAAGCAUCGGCUAACUCCGUGCCAGCAGCCGCGGUAAUACGGAGGAUGCAAGCGUUAUCCGGAUUCAUUGGGUUUAAAGGGUGCGCAGGCUGUAAAGCAAGUCAGUGGUGAAAGCCCUGGGCUUAACUCAGGGAUUGCCAUUGAAACUGUUUUACUAGAGUGUAGUAGAGGACGGCGGAAUGAGUUGUGUAGCGGUGAAAUGCAUAGAUAUAACUCAGAACACCUAUUGCGUAGGCAGCUGUCUAUACUACAACUGACGCUGAGGCACGAAAGCGUGGGGAGCGAACAGGAUUAGAUACCCUGGUAGUCCACGCUGUAAACGAUGAUCACUCGUUGUUGGCUACUUAGUAGUCAGUGACCAAGGGAAACCGAUAAGUGAUCCACCUGGGGAGUACGUCGGCAACGAUGAAACUCAAAGGAAUUGACGGGGGCCCGCACAAGCGGAGGAACAUGUGGUUUAAUUCGAUGAUACGCGAGGAACCUUACCUGGGCUUAAAUGCUGGCUGCAUUGGAGGGAAACCUUCAUUUCCUACGGGACCGCCAGCAAGGUGCUGCAUGGUUGUCGUCAGCUCGUGCCGUGAGGUGUCGGGUUAAGUCCCAUAACGAGCGCAACCCCUAUCGCUAGUUGCCAGCAUGUAAUGGUGGGGACUCUAGCGAGACUGCCGGUGUAAACCGGAGGAAGGUGGGGAUGACGUCAAAUCAGCACGGCCCUUACGUCCAGGGCUACACACGUGUUACAAUGGCCGGUACAAAGAGCAGCCACCUGGCGACAG
rnacentral:rRNA from 1 species